rnacentral:rRNA from 1 species
GCAGUAUUCUAACUGUGCUAAGGUAGCAUAAUCAUUAGUCUUUUAAUUGGAGACUGGUAUGAAUGGCUAAACGAGAAAAUAACUUUUUUUGUUAUAAAUAUUGAAUUUAAUUUUUUAGUGAAAAAGCUAAAAUUUUUCAGAAAGACGAGAAGACCCUAUAGAGUUUUAUAUUUUAUUAUAUUUAUUUUAAUUAGAUUUAAAAAGGCUAAAUAUUUAAAAAUAUUUUGUUGGGGCGACAUUAAGAUAAAAAAAACUCUUUAUUUUUAAAAUUUUUAUGGAAAUAUUUUAUGAUCCUUUAUAAGGGAUUAAAAGAAAAAUUACCUUAGGGAUAACAGCGUAAUCUUUUUUAAGAGUUCUAAUCGACAAAAAGGUUUGCGACCUCGAUGUUGGACUAAAAUUUAGGCAGGGUGCAGCAGUUCUGCUUUUAGGUCUGUUCGACCUAUA